rnacentral:rRNA from 1 species
UACGAAGGGGGCUAGCGUUGCUCGGAAUCACUGGGCGUAAAGCGCACGUAGGCGGCUUUCUAAGUCAGGGGUGAAAUCCUGGAGCUCAACUCCAGAACUGCCUUUGAUACUGGGGGAGCUCGAGUCCGGAAGAGGUGAGUGGAACUCCGGAGUGUAGAGGUGAAAUUCGUAGAUAUUCGGAAGAACACCAGUGGCGAAGGCGGCUCACUGGUCCGGUACUGACGCUGAGGUGCGAAAGCGUGGGGAGCAAAGCAGG